GACGAACGCUGGCGGCGUGCUUAACACAUGCAAGUCGAACGGUAAGGCCCUUCGGGGUACACGAGUGGCGAACGGGUGAGUAACACGUGGGUGAUCUGCCCUGCACUUCGGGAUAAGCCUGGGAAACUGGGUCUAAUACCGGAUAGGACCACUGCCUGCAUGGGUGGUGGUGGAAAGCUUUUGCGGUGUGGGAUGGGCCCGCGGCCUAUCAGCUUGUUGGUGGGUGGUGGCCUACCAAGGCGACGACGGGUAGCCGGCCUGAGAGGGUGACCGGCCACACUGGGACUGAGAUACGGCCCAGACUCCUACGGGAGGCAGCAGUGGGGAAUAUUGCACAAUGGGCGCAAGCCUGGUGCAGCGACGCCGCGUGAGGGAUGACGGCCUUCGGGUUGUAAACCCCUUUCAGCACCGACGAAGCGCAAGUGACGGUAGGUGCAGAAGAAGGACCGGCCAACUACGUGCCAGCCGCCGCCGUAA
rnacentral:rRNA from 1 species